GCCUCUUUAGCUCAGUUGGUAGAGCGGUUCACUCGUAAUGAACAGGUCGCCGGUUCAAAUCCGGCAGGAGGCU
rnacentral:tRNA from 1 species